UACAGAGGGUGCUAGCGUUGUUCGGAAUUAUUGGGCGUAAAGGGCGCGUAGGCGGCCCUGUGUGUCGGGUGUGAAAGCCCACCUCUUAAAGGUGGAAUUGCAUUCGAAACUACAGGGCUGGAGUGUCGGAGAGGAUGGCGGAAUUCCUGGUGUAGAGGUGAAAUUCGUAGAUAUCAGGAGGAACACCGGUGGCGAAGGCGGCCAUCUGGACGACAACUGACGCUGAGGCGCGAAAGCGUGGGGA
rnacentral:rRNA from 1 species